UGGGGAAUAUUGGACAAUGGGCGAAAGCCUGAUCCAGCCAUGCCGCGUGUGUGAAGAAGGUCUUCGGAUUGUAAAGCACUUUAAGUUGGGAGGAAGGGCAUUAACCUAAUACGUUAGUGUUUUGACGUUACCGACAGAAUAAGCACCGGCUAACUCUGUGCCAGCAGCCGCGGUAAUACUGAGGGUGCAAGCGUUAAUCGGAAUUACUGGGCGUAAAGCGCGCGUAGGUGGUUUGUUAAGUUGGAUGUGAAAUCCCCGGGCUCAACCUGGGAACUGCAUUCAAAACUGACUGACUAGAGUAUGGUAGAGGGUGGUGGAAUUUCCUGUGUAGCGGUGAAAUGCGUAGAUAUAGGAAGGAACACCAGUGGCGAAGGCGACCACCUGGACUAAUACUGACACUGAGGUGCGAAAGCGUGGGGAGCAAACA
rnacentral:rRNA from 1 species